GUGCUCACUUCGGCAGCACAUUGGAACAAUACAAAAGAGAUUAGAAUGGCCCCUGGGCAAGGAUGACACACAAAUUCGCGAAGCGUUCCAUGUUUUU
rnacentral:snRNA from 2 species